AGGCCCAGCAAAUUUUGAAAGAAACUGGAGUUUUCCCAUAGGACCACAGAGAGAACUUCAAAGAAUCCCUUUGGAAUCAAUUAGUGCCUACAAAUAUUUAUCUAAGAAGUCACUCAAAGAUAUUUGACAGGUAAAUACUUAAAUUCAAUGAUGCUCAAUAACACAACCCUGGGAAGAGAGUAUUUAUUUUUUUAAAGAUAUUACAACACUAAGUAUUUGAUAAUUGUAUGAAAAUGGUAUUAACAAGUUGGAGUGUUAUGACCUCCAUGAUGUAUCUCCAAAUUACACUUGCAGUUAUUCCAUUCAGGUGCAUACCUAGAACAGUGGAAUAUCCAAUGAAGCUAAGUUAUAUGGUCUAAUUUUCAAUGAGGUGGACAUAACUAUUAAGGUCAUAUUGACUCUUUUCAUGGAAAAAGAGUAAUAGUUAGAGAAUACCUACUAUGAGUCAGCAACUCCAAAUGUUUUCUCCUGAAAUGUUUCCAACAACCUAAAGAGGUGGGCAUGGUUUCCACAUCACAAAGUAGAACACCAAGGCUGAGCUUAGAGGCAGAGUCAAGAACUAGGUCCAAUACAUAUCCAAACCAACUGAAAUCAGGAUGCCAUAGAGACAUUUGCACUCUGAGGUUCACUGCAGCAUUAUUCAUAUAUAUAUAUAUAUGCUAAGUGAGAUAAGCCAUCAGAGAAAGACACUUAAAUACUGUAUGAUCUCACUUAUAUGUGGAGUCUGUAAAUUCCAAACUCAGAGAAGCAAAGAGUAAGGCAGAUUAGCAGCGGCUGGGAGGGGAGGAGGGAAUAGGGAGAUAGUGGUCAAAGGGUACAAACUUCCAGUUAUAAGACCAACAGAUUCUGGGGAUCUAAGAAUACAAGGAUUCUUAAAGAUGGUUUUAUCAUAUCUUUGCAUCAAUAUUUUUCUUGAAGGACUCAAAUAACAAUGCAAGUUAUAAGAAAUACCUUUAAAAGCGCCCUUUUCCUAUUUAGGGUGAAAACAAGCUAUAUGUAUCUGUUCCAAUUUAUAUGUACUUGAGGUAAGAAUAGUAGGCAUAGUUAAUAGGUUAUAACCACGUUAGACAAUCUAGAUGUAUUUGUGCAUUUACUAAUUAUAGCUCAGAGAUAACUCUGGGCUCUUUUAUAAGCCCAAUGGCUGUGAACGUAUGAUAAUAGUUUGUCAGCUGCAUUAUUUUCCAACUACCCUUGAUGGAAACAUGUAAUUACUGGAACUAUGAAAGUAAAUGCAUUUGAAUUAAAGCACACCACAUUGUCAACUUUAUGGCUAUAAAUUCUAUAAGUCACGUUGGAAUGAAAAACAUGUAAUGACUUAGCUGCUUUAAGAGAGGAAUAUCAUAUAACAUAGGAGCUAAAACCUAACGAUGGUUUAAUAAGAGUACUUGACUCAAUUAUUAUAAAAAUACGCAUACCUGCAGGAAUGAACACAGUUGUGGUUACAAUGAAAUUUUAAAUAAAAACCAGGGCCUUUAAAACACAGACCAACUGUUCCAAAGCUACUGAGAAAGUUUAUUAAUUUAAACCAUGGCUCAUAGGAUAAUAUUUAAUAAGCAGCCAGUCUUCUUCUAUGAUGACAAAUCACACCUCGAAAUUGCCUCAUCGUCAUAAAACCCUCGAGCUAGGCAAGACCCUGAGCUGUCCUUCAGCUUCGGCCAACAAAAAUAUCAGCAAUAAGUACAGCUCGCAAUCCACCUGCAGCACAGUCUAAAUGAAGGUAAAUAAGGCAUUCAUGCAAGAAAUUAACACAUGGCAGAAAAUAAUACUGAGCUCCAGGGCAAAAAUCAGUCUUAUGUCACGGUCGAAAAAAAUCAAAGAAUAUAACUUAGUCUAUGAAAUCCUUAAACAGUAUCUCAUUAAUAUAAUACAGAGCUUUACUCCAGGGACACAUAUUUUUAAAAUAUUUAUUUUAAUCUUACUUUAUCAUGCCCUUAAAGGAACUCUUCACUGUCUAGAAAUACAACAGAAAAACUCUAACCGCUGGUUUUCAUCUAGUUAUUAAAUCUCUCUGAUAGUAUGUCUUUUUCUAUUAAUAUUAGUCAUUAUUUUGGUUACUUCUAUCACACUGAUUUAGAAGGUAAAUGAACAUUCUGUUCCAAUAUGCUCAGUUUUUGUUUGCAUUCACAUAUAGAAAUAUAAUUUCUCAUGUGCUAAUGAGUAACAAAUUUCAGACUAUGAAGCCACUGGGACAGCUCUCAUAAGGAUUCAUCAAUAUGUACAAAAUAAAGUGAGCUAGUUUUAUAUACACAUGUAAAAUGAUGAUCUUUAGCAAGUCAACUAGCUAUUUUAUACUAUGACAUCUUGUUCUGAUGCUUUGGGGUUGGUCUGCAGAAGCACAAAAUAAGGUGAAAUCAAAGCAAAGCUGAACCCGAGGACAGAUUCUGUAAAGAAGUGCGCAGGGAAAGAAUGGGUAGUAUGUUAUGGGUGCAUGUCUAAAGUCUGAUGGCAAAAAGAAAAUCAUAAGUGAAUUUUUCAUUUCCUUAUCCAGACUCCCUUAUGACUCCAAAGCAGAGUAAGAAAUGCCUAGUGAUGUUGAUCCCAGAAGUUAGGUAACAGUAGGGCAGAUCAUACAAACAUUCAGCUUAAAUCUAAAAUGCUGACUGAUUUUAAUAUAAAACUUUGAAAAACCUUCCUAAAAAACUACAUAUGUGUGUACCAGUGUAAUCCAUGCAGUGUACAGCUUACGUAGAUCUUUCUUGUGCCUUAUAUUUUCAAAUGACUUCAGCCAAUGGUGGCCAGCCUGGCAGACUAAACUGGAACUUUAGGCCCAUGAGUGCCAGGCUGCUAAAACCCUCAAGAGGGAUCUACAACUUUAUCCUGGGUGAAAUAUUUUCUUCAGUAUAUGCUUCCUUGCUAUUAUAUCUCUUUCUGUUACUUAUUUCAUGUUCUGAUAAGCAAUUUGGGCUCAUAAUGACAGACAAAUAUAGACUACACCUGCUAGCAGGAAACAAAGAAAAUGCAUAGCACUGGUUGUCAACACACCUGUGUUAAGAUGCUCAAAGUUCUUUCCAGAAAAUGGUUGAGGAAACAUUGGAUAACUAUCUUCAGGAAGUUCAGUACUGGUAGAAACCUCCUGGAAUUAUGAAAGGCAUCAUGGACUAACUGGAGCCCAGAAGGCUGGGACAACAUUUGCACAGUCA
rnacentral:lncRNA from 1 species